UACGAAGGGGGCUAGCGUUGUUCGGAAUUACUGGGCGUAAAGCGCACGUAGGCGGAUACUUAAGUCAGGGGUGAAAUCCCGGGGCUCAACCCCGGAACUGCCUUUGAUACUGGGUAUCUCGAGUCCGGAAGAGGUGAGUGGAAUUCCGAGUGUAGAGGUGAAAUUCGUAGAUAUUCGGAGGAACACCAGUGGCGAAGGCGACUCGCUGGACAGACAUUGACGCUGAGGUGCGAAAGCGUGGGGAGCAAACAGG
rnacentral:rRNA from 1 species